rnacentral:rRNA from 1 species
CGCGUAGGCGGUGCGUUAAGUUAGGCGUGAAAGCCCUGGGCUCAACCCGGGAACUGCGCUUGAUACUGGCGUGCUCGAAUCCGGGAGAGGUUGGUGGAAUUCCCAGUGUAGAGGUGAAAUUCGUAGAGAUUGGGAAGAACACCGGUGGCGAAGGCGGCCAACUGGACCGGUAUUGACGCUGAGGCGCGAAAGCGUGGGGAGCAAACAGGAUUAGAUACCCUGGUAGUCCACGCCGUAAACGAUGUGUGCUAGCCGUUGGGGCUCUUAGAGCUUCAGUGGCGUCGCUAACGCUUUAAGCACACCGCCUGGGGAGUACGGCCGCAAGGUUAAA